UUGAGAUAAAAUUGCCUGGAAAGCAGUGAUUUGCCCAAAUUUCUGUGGCUGCACCACGGCGGCUCCUCAGAUUGCGCAGGGUGACACAUGGCUAUGAGCUCACUGAAACUCUGCUGACUAACCUCGACUGGAGACCCAGCAGGAUCACUGUGUCAGGUCACUGAAUAUGUGGGGCUUGAAGCAUAUGGGAAAUAAAAGGUAAUGGCACUUUCUCAACAGUAAACAAGCCCUGUUUGUUUGGUUCCUGAGGAUGGUUCCUGAGUCAAAAGUCUUCUUUGGAAGAAAAGGUGAAGAUCCCACUCAGAAGUUUGUGAAGCAGAUUGGCUUCAAGAUGAAACUGCUCAUGUUCUGCACCUGCUGACAGAAAUACACCUAAGCAAUUAUUUCAAAUGUCUCCAGUCACCUUAAUUUCUGUAGAUGAAAGCAAGCUUCUCCAAUGUUCCUAGCUUUAAGAGCAAUUAGCUGAUUUUUUCUUUUUGGUCAAAGAGCUAUACUUAUUUCUUGAGGCUGGACGUCAGUAAUGAGGUGUGAGGAUGAAAUAUGCUCUUACUUCUAUCUCAGCGAAGGAAGGAUCCUGCCUACUGUUGGCUUUCAGCUUGCCCACUGCCUCACUGAAGUCCAUCCUACCUGGUGCUUCUCACAUCAUCUACCUCCUUGAAUCGUGAAGAUGGGUCGUCUUUUGUACUACUGCUCUGUGGAUGAAGCCUGUUCUCUCCCGGUGAGGCUAUUAAAGACAAAGUGAGAAUUAAUAUCUGGGAACAGUAUAUUCUGGACUCAUAUAAGGCACAUAGAUGCACAGGUAGAUGGAUUGGCUCUCCAGUGGAUGUCUCGUCUUGGAAACACUUGGCAUUUCAACUAGUAUUUCCCAGUUUCCUACAUGUAUUCUAUUUGCCAGACAUACCCCAGCUAGAGAAUGGUUUGCUGUAGGCCCCUCAAGCUCUGAGGAAAUGGAUUUCCACUCUUUGUGGACUUCUAGGCUUGUGUCUGCAUGAGAUAAGCCGCACUGUGCAUCACUGUCUUCACCUUCACAUCUGGGCUUGUUACACCUUCACCUCCCUCUGUUCCUAGCCCUAAGGCACAUGUUCUCUCAUAUCCACAUACAUUCUGUUACAUCUCAUUCUUUGUCUGAGUAGAAGCCGUGUUUGGAAGAUGGGAAACGAAGGGCUGGAUUAAAUUCUGUAGAUAUGCACGGGGGAGGCACUCUUCAUGCAGAUUUUUUCCCCUUCCUGCAUCCAGCCAGCGGUUGUAGGAGGCAGCUGCCUUGAUGUUUCCCAUUUUUCUUUUGUGGAAACCAGGCUGGGCUUUGUGCAGGUCUGUGUUUCUACAUCACCUCUUGUAUGCAAUACCACACUCAGUUUCAGCUGAUAGAAAGGCCAGCAGAUUCUGUCUACUACAGCAACAUAGAUUCAGGGACUCAGCAACAGGACACCACAAAGCAGCUUGGAUGGACUUUCAUUUGGGUACUGCAAAAUCAGCAUCGCUGGAAGAGGUGGGAGGGCCUGUGGAUCUAAAACUUCUCUGUCUUCCCUCAGGGGAUGCUGUGGUAAGAAUUUGCUGCUCUCAGGAAGAAUUUGAGGGAAUCUGUACAAGCCCUCUGUUUGGAAAAGGACACGAAACCCUUCAAAUGUAACGAAUGCCUGUCGGUAUUUUCACACAAAGACGUUUCUAGAAGUGCUACCAUUUAGUUAGGAAACCUCUUUCAUAUCUAUAAUAUGGAAAGGUUUAGAGUCAAGAACUGAAUGUUCACAAUUUGGACCUUGGAUGUGUUGAUUAAAACUUAUUUCAAUGUAAAAGAUCCCCACAAGGACCUGCCCUCAAGGAUUGUGUUUUUUCAAGGCUUGAUUUAAAGAUCACCUAAACCUGUCUUUGCACAUGGGCAAUGCAUCCAGUCCUAGUGAAGCAUAUAGAUCAGAUUUCUGUGUGGAGCCGGACAAUCUUGGGCUUAUCUGUAGGGUGCAUUGAGAGAGAAAUUAUUCUUAGAGGAGAAUUCUGCUCCUCGCUUUACACAGUUCUGCACUGACAAAGUAUAUAGAGCUUUCCUCUCAUGAAUCAGCUGCUCUAUAUUGCAACAGCUUUUACUUACUCUGGUUUCUGUGCUGAAACCUGGGGCCCAGUUGUGUGAUACAAGGUGGUUGGGAACACAUAGAACAAAAUUUUCCUCAUUUCUCUUUCAAGUAAGUCAGGUCUUUGGAGAUAUGGUGUUGACUGAUUAUGCCACAUUACAUUCACCAUCCUGCUGAAGUCCAUAGGAGUACCCACACAAGGCAGGGAAUGUAGGGCUGAGCCUUUGAUUCCUGUAGCAUUCUUCUUGAACCAAAGCAAAACAUGACUCUGCGUUUGGAUUAUGUUCACUUGCAGCUGAGAGAUGAUUGUUUGCCUUUUAGAUUCCAUUUACAUGACUGUCUUCUCAUAACUGAUAUAUGAUAAUUUACACUACAUGCUUCCAGGACUAUGUCAUGUGAAAAGUAAUACUUAGAUGGCCAAAUAUCUGACAGAGCGAGUAUACGGCUGUCACACACACACAUGCUUGGAAGUCUAAGGAAUCGCAUCUCCCAAGUCGCUCAUAUCUUUCCUCUCCCCUGUUUGUGUUGGUUUCCUUUCAGUAAAUACAACUGCAGAUCUUUGGCCUGUGCCACAUGUCAAGUAAGGAUAAGAACCCCUCUACAUGGAAGUCAGUUUUCAAACACGAAUGGAGCAGAUGGGUAAAUCUCAAGUUUCCGUACACAAUCUAUAUCUUUAAGAUGCUGGUUUGUGCAGGUGUCUGUGGAAGGGGAAGCUUGUGCAUUCAAGGACCCAUUUAUGACAAUUAAACAAUUUGUGUGUGUAAGACAAAACACAUUUAUAACACACACUUUGGCAUCACACACUUAGCCAGAGGAAUUGAUGGAAUGAAUAUUGAAUGCCCCAUCUAAGGAUAAAAAUACAGAACUGCCUGAAGUCACUAAAAAAGGAGGAGAGAGCAGAGGACUUCUCUAUUUUUUUUUCCCUUAAAAUAUUUCGCUGGACUCUGAGUAUCUUAUUCUGUGCACUGUCUUGUUUAAAUCCAGUGUGGUGACAGGAAAGCUUGAAGGUUCUUUUUCUUUGUCUUACUUAGAAAUUGCUGGGGAAAUUGUAAGUAGCUGGAGUUUAGAUUUGGAAGUAUUUAACUGCUUCAUUUCCAUCUGAAUUAACAUAUA